AUGCAAAGAGGCGAAGAAAUUAGGGAGAUCAGAGCUUACCUGCCGGAGACACUCCGGCGGUGUUUUAGAUGCGACGAAGGAGAUGAGAAAUCCAGAGGACAAUCUUCAAAGAGCAGGGGCUUUUUCACCAUAGCAGGUCGGAUUACGCGAGAAGGAAGAGCAAGAUUUCAUAGAAUUGGUUAA